UGGGGAAUAUUGGACAAUGGGGGCAACCCUGAUCCAGCCAUGCCGCGUGUGUGAAGAAGGCCUUCGGGUUGUAAAGCACUUUUGUCCGGGAAGAAAUCUCACGAUUUAAUACGUCGGGAGGAUGACGGUACCGGAAGAAUAAGCACCGGCUAACUUCGUGCCAGCAGCCGCGGUAAUACGAAGGGUGCAAGCGUUACUCGGAAUUACUGGGCGUAAAGCGUGCGUAGGUGGUUCGUUAAGUCUGCCGUGAAAGCCCCGGGCUCAACCUGGGAAUGGCGGUGGAUACUGGCGGACUAGAGUGCGGUAGAGGGUGGUGGAAUUCCCGGUGUAGCAGUGAAAUGCGUAGAGAUCGGGAGGAACAUCUGUGGCGAAGGCGGCCACCUGGACCAGCACUGACACUGAGGCACGAAAGCGUGGGGAGCAAACA
rnacentral:rRNA from 1 species